GGGCCCGCACAAGCGGUGGAGCAUGUGGUUUAAUUCGAUGAUACGCGAGGAACCUUACCAGGGCUUAAAUGUAAGUUGCAUAAGUUAGAGAUAGCUUUUUCUUCGGACUACUUACAAGGUGCUGCAUGGUUGUCGUCAGCUCGUGCCGUGAGGUGUCAGGUUAAGUCCUAUAACGAGCGCAACCCCUGUUGUUAGUUGCCAGCGAGUCAAGUCGGGAACUCUAACAAGACUGCCGGUGCAAACCGCGAGGAAGGUGGGGAUGACGUCAAAUCAUCACGGCCCUUACGUCCUGGGCUACACACGUGCUACAAUGGCCGGUACAGAGAGCAGCCACUACGCGAGUAGGAGCGAAUCUACAAAACCGGUCUCAGUUCGGAUCGGAGUCUGCAACUCGACUCCGUG
rnacentral:rRNA from 1 species